CAGCCACAAAAUGACUAACUGCCAAAGUUCAGCGUUCAUCGUCGUAGGCACCGUGUUAUCCAUCCUGGUAGCGGCCCAAUCGGCACCCGUUUCCACCACCACACAGGCAGAGAUCUACCUGUCCCAGUUCGGCUAUCUACCCGCCUCCGCCCGCAAUCCCGCCAGCAGCGGGCUGCACGACCAGCAGACCUGGGUGAGCGCCAUCGAGGAGUUCCAGAACUUCGCGGGACUGAACAUCACCGGCGAGCUGGAUGCGGAGACCAUGAAGCUGAUGUCCCUGCCGCGCUGCGGAGUUCGGGAUCGCGUCGGCACCGGGGACAGCCGCUCCAAGCGGUACGCCCUGCAGGGCAGUCGCUGGCGCGUGAAGAACCUCACCUACAAGAUCUCCAAGUACCCCAAGCGGCUGAAGCGAGUCGAUGUGGACGCGGAGAUCGGUCGCGCAUUCGCCGUGUGGUCCGAGGACACCGACCUGACCUUCACCAGGAAGACUUCCGGCCCCGUGCACAUCGAGAUCAAGUUCGUGGAGAGUGAGCAUGGAGACGGCGAUGCCUUUGACGGCCAAGGAGGCACCCUGGCCCACGCCUUCUUCCCUGUCUUUGGCGGAGAUGCCCACUUCGACGACGCGGAACAGUGGACCAUUGGCUCGCACCGCGGCACCAAUCUGUUCCAGGUGGCCGCCCACGAGUUCGGUCACUCCUUGGGACUCUCCCACUCCGAUCAGAGCGCCGCUUUGAUGGCGCCCUUCUAUCGCGGAUUCGAGCCCUCCUUCAAGUUGGACGAUGACGACAAGGCGGCCAUCCAGUCACUGUACGGCAAGAAAUCGUACCCGCUGAGGCCCACCAACGUGUACCCGGCCACCACCCAGCGGCCAUACACUCCUCCAAAGGUGCCCCUGGACGACUCCAUCUGCAAGGACUCCAAGGUGGACACGCUCUUCAACUCGGCGCAGGGCGAGACCUACGCCUUCAAGGGCGACAAGUACUACAAGCUGACCACGGACUCCGUGGAGGAGGGCUACCCGCAGCUCAUCUCCAAGGGCUGGCCGGGAUUGCCGGCCAACAUCGAUGCGGCGUUCACCUACAAGAACGGCAAGACGUACUUCUUCAAGGGCACUCAGUACUGGCGCUACCAGGGCCGCCAGAUGGACGGCGUCUACCCGAAGGAAAUCAGCGAGGGCUUCACGGGCAUACCCGACCAUCUGGACGCCGCGAUGGUUUGGGGGGGCAAUGGCAAGAUCUACUUCUUCAAGGGCAGCAAGUUCUGGCGCUUCGACCCGGCCAAGAGGCCGCCGGUCAAGUCCAGCUAUCCCAAGCCGAUCUCCAACUGGGAGGGUGUUCCCAACAACCUGGACGCUGCGCUGAAGUACACCAAUGGCUACACGUACUUCUUCAAGGGCGACAAGUACUACAGAUUCCACGACGCCCGAUUUGCCGUGGACUCGGCCACGCCCCCCUUCCCCAGGCCCACCGCCCACUGGUGGUUCGGCUGCAAGAACACGCCCUCGUCCACAGCACCGCAAGUGCCGAGUGUGAAUCCCAACCCGAAUCAGGGUAUUCUGCCCAGCUGGAUGUGGGGCAUCACGAACAGAUUCUUCUAGUCUAGAGGAUCUGGUAGCCAGCUCAUCCGUGUGUUGUAGCCAGUCCCGUUGUAAUUUGCCAGCUUUAGUGUAAUCCAUCGCCCGCAUGAGUGAUCUCUGUCUGAAUAAAGUAAACCAUCCAUCGAAACAUACAAAACAUGCCACGCCCACGAACUGCGCCGCCUGCCGAAACGCCAAGCCAAGUCAAAUAGAAAGAAACGAGUUUACAGAGUGAAGACCGUGGGCGAUCACCAGUCAAACGACGAGCCAAUAGCCCCGGAAGUGGCCGAGCGAACCGGAAACGGA
rnacentral:misc_RNA from 1 species